rnacentral:rRNA from 1 species
GAUGAACGCUGGCGGCGUGCCUAAUACAUGCAAGUCGAGCGAACGGACGAGAAGCUUGCUUCUCUGAUGUUAGCGGCGGACGGGUGAGUAACACGUGGAUAACCUACCUAUAAGACUGGGAUAACUUCGGGAAACCGUAGCUAAUACCGGAUAAUAUUUUGAACCGCAUGGUUCAAAAGUGAAAGACGGUCUUGCUGUCACUUAUAGAUGGAUCCGCGCUGCAUUAGCUAGUUGGUAAGGUAACGGCUUACCAAGGCAACGAUGCAUAGCCGACCUGAGAGGGGGAUCGGCCACACUGGAACUGAGACACGGUCCAGACUCCUACGGGAGGCAGCAGGAGGGAAUCUUCCGCAAUGGGCGAAAGCCUGACGGAGCAACGCCGCGUGAGUGAUGAAGGUCUUCGGAUCGUAAAACUCUGUUAUUAGGGAAGAACAGAUGUGUAAGUAACUGUGCACAUCUGGACGGUACCUAAGCAGAAAGCCACGGCUAACUACGU